CGGACGGGUGAGUAAUACAUCGGAACGUGUCCUAAAGUGGGGGAUAACGCAUCGAAAGAUGUGCUAAUACCGCAUAAUCUCUGAGGAGAAAAGUAGGGGAUCGAAAGACCUUAUGCUUUUAGAGCGGCUGAUGUCUGAUUAGCUAGUUGGUAAGGUAAUGGCUUACCAAGGCGACGAUCAGUAGUUGGUCUGAGAGGACGACCAGCCACACUGGGACUGAGACACGGCCCAGACUCCUACGGGAGGCAGCAGUGGGGAAUUUUGGACAAUGGGCGCAAGCCUGAUCCAGCAAUGCCGCGUGAGUGAAGAAGGCCUUCGGGUUGUAAAGCUCUUUCAGUUGAAAAGAAAAAGUCGUGACUAAUAAUCAUGGCUCAUGACGGUAUCAACAGAAGAAGCACCGGCUAACUACGUGCCAGCAGCCGCGGUAAUACGUAGGGUGCAAGCGUUAAUCGGAAUUACUGGGCGUAAAGGGUGCGCAGGCGGUUCUGUAAGUCAGAUGUGAAAUCCCCGGGCUUAACCUGGGAACUGCGUUUGAAACUGCAGAGCUAGAGUGCGGCAGAGGGAGGUGGAAUUCCAUGUGUAGCAGUGAAAUGCGUAGAGAUAUGGAAGAACAUCGAUGGCGAAGGCAACCUCCUGGGCUAGCACUGACGCUCAUGCACGAAAGCGUGGGGAGCAAACAGGAUUANNNACCCUGGUAGUCCACGCCCUAAACUAUGUCAACUAGUUGUCGGGUCUUAAUAGACUUGGUANNNU
rnacentral:rRNA from 1 species